UACGUAGGGUGCGAGCGUUAAUCGGAAUUACUGGGCGUAAAGCGUGCGCAGGCGGUUGGCAAAGUCAGCUGUGAAAGCCCCGGGCUUAACCUGGGAAUGGCGGUUGAAACUGGCGAACUAGAAUCUGGCAGAGGGGGGUGGAAUUCCACGUGUAGCAGUGAAAUGCGUAGAGAUGUGGAGGAACACCGAUGGCGAAGGCAGCCCCCUGGGCUGAGAUUGACGCUCAGGCACGAAAGCGUGGGGAGCAAACAGG
rnacentral:rRNA from 1 species